GCGCGAGUGGCGGAACGGUAGACGCGCUAGUUUCAGAGACUAGUAAGAGCAAUCUUGUGGAGGUUCAAAUCCUCUCUCGCGCACCA
rnacentral:tRNA from 1 species